UACACACCGCCCGUCACACCAUGGAAGUCUGCAAUGCCCGAAGCCGGUGGCCUAACCACUUAUGUGGAAGGAGCCGUCUAAGGCAGGGCAGAUGACUGGGGUGAAGUCGUAACAAGGUAUC
rnacentral:rRNA from 1 species